rnacentral:sRNA from 1 species
GUCGUAACAAGGUUUCCGUAGGUGAACCUGCGGUCGGAUCACCUCCUUAGAUAAGGAAAGUGUUCGGAUGCACUAAUCUUCACAUCAAAUCAUCGAUGCAAUGCAUCACGAAAGUGAUGUAUGAAGGAUGUAGCGGGUCCCUGCCAGGGGACUUGCAAUGAUCGUCGUGCAUAGUCGUGUAAUAUGUGGCUGAAUUUGCCGGUGUAAAGACGGUAAUAGGUGGAUUGCUAGGCUUGAGGAGAGAUGAAGGACGUGGCAAGCUGCGAUAAGCUCGGGGUAGGCGCACGCAUCCUAUGAUCCCGAGAUGUCCGAAUGAGAAUCUUGCACUUUUGUGCAUUCCAGUACACUAGUAUUGGAAGUCGAACCGUGGGAAUUGAAGCAUCUUAGUACCACGUGGAAAAGAAAUCAAUUGAGAUUUCCCAAGUAGAGGCGAUCGAAAAGGAAAUAGCCCAAACUGAAUCCUUCGGGAGAUGUGGUGUUUUGGUAUGAUAAUAUGGAAUCUUGAAACACAGCUGAAAUGUUCUGAAAAGUACUGACAUAGAGGGUGAUAUCCCCGUAAGCGAAAUGGGAAGAGUCCUAUUCAUACCCGAGUAGUUGUCCUUGGUAGUGGGCAAUGAAUACAGGUGAAAGUGGCAUCUGAGGCUAAAUAUCUCUCAAGACCGAUAGUGGACUAGUACCGUGAGGGAAAGCUGAAAGUACCCCGGAAGGGGGGCGAAAAGUGCAUGAAACCUAUUACUUACAGACGUGCAUGGCAUGGAAGGUGAUUUUUUCAUUUUGGAGAUUCUAGCAAUAGAGUUGAAGAUUUGAUGUUCAAGUCAUCAGUGUCAUGCGUUCCGUCUCGAAACACGGACCAAGGAGUCUAA